ACAUAUUAGGUAUUUAAUCAAUGUUAAAUGUCUUAGCUGUGAUUACAGUAUUUUGGCUACAUAGAAGGAUGUCCUUAGGAGUAAGGUUUCAUGUUGUCUAUAUUUGACUUUCAAAGGAUUUCAUUCAAUAAGGACAAGAAAAAUGCAGAUACAGAAGUGUAGCACAAUGUUAAUAACUGGUAAAUCUAAGUAGAGGGCAUAUACCAGGGCUCAUUUUACUAAUCUCUUCUCUUUACUGAAAGUUUUUUUUUUAUUAUUAUUACACCAGUAAUCCCAGCACUUUGGGAGGUUAAGGUGGAUGGAUCGCUUGAGUCCAGGGGUUUGAGACCAGCCUGGGUAAAACUCCAUUUCUACAGAAAAUUUUUUAAAAUUAGUCAGGGGUGGCCGGGCACGGUGGCUCACACCUGUAGUCCCAGCACUUUGGGAGGCCGACGUGGGAAGAUCACAGGGUCAGGAGUUCAAGAUCAGCCUGGCCAACAUACUGAAACCCUGUCUCUACUAAAAAAUACAAAAAAUAAGCCAGGCUGGUCUUGAACUCCUGACCUCAUGAUCCACCCACCUUGGCCUCCCAGAGUGCUGGGAUUACAGGUGUGAGCCACCGCGCC
rnacentral:lncRNA from 10 species